AUUGAACGCUGGCGGCAUGCCUUACACAUGCAAGUCGAACGGUAACGCGGGGCAACCUGGCGACGAGUGGCGAACGGGUGAGUAACGCAUCGGAACGUGCCCAGUAGUGGGGGAUAGCCCGGCGAAAGCCGGAUUAAUACCGCAUACGACCUACGGGUGAAAGGGGGGGAUCGCAAGACCUCUCGCUAUUGGAGCGGCCGAUGUCAGAUUAGGUAGUUGGUGGGGUAAAGGCCUACCAAGCCGACGAUCUGUAGCUGGUCUGAGAGGACGACCAGCCACACGGGGACUGAGACACGGCCCAGACUCCUACGGGAGGCAGCAGUGGGGAAUUUUGGACAAUGGGCGAAAGCCUGAUCCAGCCAUGCCGCGUGCGGGAAGAAGGCCUUCGGGUUGUAAACCGCUUUUGUCAGGGAAGAAAUCUUCUGGGUUAAUACCUCGGGAGGAUGACGGUACCUGAAGAAUAAGCACCGGCUAACUACGUGCCAGCAGCCGCCGUAA
rnacentral:rRNA from 1 species